rnacentral:rRNA from 1 species
UACAGAGAUCUCAAGCGUUGUUCGGAUUCAUUGGGCGUAAAGGGUGCGUAGGCGGCGCGGUAAGUCGGGUGUGAAAUUUCGAGGCUUAACUUCGAAACUGCAUUCGAUACUGCCGUGCUUGAGGACUGGAGAGGAGACUGGAAUUUACGGUGUAGCGGUGAAAUGCGUAGAUAUCGUAAGGAAGACCAGUGGCGAAGGCGGGUCUCUGGACAGUUCCUGACGCUGAGGCACGAAGGCCAGGGGAGCAAACGGG